AACGAACGCUGGCGGCAUGCCUAACACAUGCAAGUCGAACGAGACCUUCGGGUCUAGUGGCGCUCGGGUGCGUAACGCGUGGGAACCUGCCCUUAGGUUCUGAAUAACUCCUCGAAAGGGGUUCUAAUACCGGAUAAUGUCUUCGGACCAAACAUUCAUCGCCGUUGGAUGGGCCCGCGUUGGAUUAGCUAGUUGGUAGGGUAAAAGCCUACCAAGGCGAAGAUCCAUAGCUGGUCUGAGAGGAUGAUCAGCCACACUGGGACUGAGACACGGCCCAGACUCCUGCGGGAAGCAGCAGUGGGGAAUAUUGGACAAUGGGCGAAAGCCUGAUCCAGCAAUGCCGCGUGAGUGAUGAAGGCCUUAGGGUUGUAAAGCUCUUUUACCCGGGAUGAUAAUGACAGUACCGGGAGAAUAAGCUCCGGCUAACUCCGUG
rnacentral:rRNA from 1 species